AUAAAUGCAUAAAUCAAGAAGUAGUAAAGAUAGAAGCGCUUUGUAGGGAGUAUGAGCCAUAGACUGUAAGCUCAUUAAAGUAGCCUAACUUGAAUUCGUCUUGCUAGCAGCGCAGCAAAAACUGCGUCGGCUUUCCAAAAGUCGUUAACGAAAUGAAGUGACUGUUUAUACAGUAACUAGGGUGGUACCGCGAUUAAUCCUCGUCCCUUUU
rfam:Lysinibacillus sp. BF-4 contig00015, whole genome shotgun sequence.